rnacentral:rRNA from 1 species
GCACAAGCGGUGGAGCAUGUGGUUUAAUUCGAUGCAACGCGAAGAACCUUACCUGGGCUUGACAUCCCGGGAAUCCCUUGGAAACAAGGGAGUGCCCUUCGGGGAACCUGGAGACAGGUGCUGCAUGGCUGUCGUCAGCUCGUGUCGUGAGAUGUAGGGUUAAGUCCCGCAACGAGCGCAACCCUUGUCUUUAAUUGCCAUCAUUGAGUUGGGCACUUUAAAGAGACUGCCGGUGUUAAACCGGAGGAAGGUGGGGAUGACGUCAAGUCCUCAUGGCCUUUAUGACCUGGGCUACACACGUGCUACAAUGGUUGGUACAACGAGUUGCGAGUCGGUGACGGCGAGCUAAUCUCUUAAAGCCAAUCUCAGUUCGGAUUGUAGGCUGCAACUCGCCUACAUGAAGUCGGAAUCGCUAGUAAUCGCGGAUCAGCACGCCGCGGUGAAUACGUUCCCGGGCCUU